rnacentral:rRNA from 1 species
GUGGGGAAUUUUGGACAAUGGGGGCAACCCUGAUCCAGCCAUGCCGCGUGCGGGAAGAAGGCCUUCGGGUUGUAAACCGCUUUUGUCAGGGAAGAAAUCCUUUGGGUUAAUACCUCGGAGGGAUGACGGUACCUGAAGAAUAAGCACCGGCUAACUACGUGCCAGCAGCCGCGGUAAUACGUAGGGUGCGAGCGUUAAUCGGAAUUACUGGGCGUAAAGCGUGCGCAGGCGGUUUUGUAAGAUCGAUGUGAAAUCCCCGGGCUCAACCUGGGAAAUGCAGUGGUGACUGCAAGGCUGGAGUGCGGCAGAGGGGGAUGGAAUUCCGCGUGUAGCAGUGAAAUGCGUAGAUAUGCGGAGGAACACCGAUGGCGAAGGCAAUCCCCUGGGCCUGCACUGACGCUCAUGCACGAAAGCGUGGGGAGCAAACAGGAUUAGAUACCCGGGUAGUCC